AGGGAGGUAGCUCAGCGGUGCAGCGCCUGCCUGGCAAACACGAGGCCCUGAGUUAGAUUCCCAGCUACCCAC
rnacentral:tRNA from 1 species